AGUUGUGUGUGUGUGUGUGUGUGUGUGUGUGUGUGUGUGUGUGUGUGCAUGUAGGUAUGUAUGCUUAUGCAUUUUCUUUAAAAUAUUUCAGUCAAUGGCAUGCUCGACAUUAGAACAUAAGGCAGAUGCUGACAAUGACAUGCCAAUGUAAUCAAGAAUUGAGCUGAAUCUGUUCAUUUUUGUCAAUAACAUAUAAUGGUUGCUGCAAAUCUGCUAAGCUUUUCUACAUCCCACAUCUCAUUUGAGAAAACUGGGUUAUGGCUGAUUUUUGAGGCUUUGGGUCCUAGCCUUGAUUACACACAAUGCUUCAAGUAUUUUGUCAUUUAUAUGCAAUUGUGUCAUGCUACCUACAACCAUAACCAACAAGCCGCCGUCCUGAAUACAUGGGCUCUGCCAUUUGAUUCUACCAGGAGCUACAACCAUCUUCAUUGCCAACCUACGCUGUUGCAUCUUAGAAUUCUGAGGUCUUCACUCCUUAUCCUUAAACAUAUUUAUGACUGUCCUUAUUGGGGUAUCCUCAGUUCUUUCUUGCCAAUGCUGUCUCAAUAGAAUUUCAGUCCUCAAUUUCUCUUCUGUUGGUGUAAUAAUAUACUCAUUUCAGACUCUUCUUUUGCUUGUGUCCCCCCUUAUUUUCCAUCUACCGUUACUAAGUUAAGAUCUAGGACCCUUUUCACCAUCCAACAUUCGAAUUUAUAGUGUUAUUUAACAGCACUGCAUUCCUUGCCUUCUAAAAGUCAAGGAGGCAUGUGAUGUAGUCCUCUAUUUGGCUGCAUAGGGUAGAGACCAAGACUUCUGAUGCAUAUAAUAUAUGAUUUCAAGGCAUUUUUUGGUGGUGUAGACUCAAUGUUCUGAAAUUGGUUUUUUGAAUCAUCAAAUUCAUUACCAAAGAAAUAAUGUAUAGUAUCCCCCCCCCCCCCCCCCCCCGAAAAAAAAAAAAAUCAAUUAGUUUGACCCAUUAUAAUAACAUUAGCAGUAGGCCUUCUUUUUAGAGAUUGGUGAAGGAUGUUGAUAUUAAAAAUAAAUUUGCUAAAGUGUUGUGUUUCUUAUAUCCUACAGCUAAUUUGGGAGUUUAGACAAGAGUAUACAUACAUAUAUAUAUUGAACAACCAAAACAAAUGCUUUUUCCAUAUAAUAACAAAAAAUAAUUAUAUAAAAGAUAAAUAUAUAUAGUUUAGCUAUUUUUCCCCUAUGUGGCCCUUCAUCUCUCUCUCUCUCUCUCUCUCUCC
rnacentral:lncRNA from 1 species